rnacentral:rRNA from 1 species
UUACCCAAUCCUGACAUAGGGAGGUAGUGACAAGAAAUAACAAAGCAAGUCUCUUAGAGGCGCUGCGUUGGAAUGAGUAGAAUUUAAAUCUCUGUACGACCAUCAAUUGGAGGGCAAGUCUGGUGCCAGCAGCCGCGGUAAUUCCAGCUCCAAUAGCGUAUAUUAAAGUUGUUGCGGUUAAAAAGCUCGUAGUUGGAUUCCUGCCUGAGGCAGCCGGUCCGCACUUAGUGCGUGUAUCUGGUUUGGUUUGGGCAUCCUCUUGGGGAUCGUUGCUGUGCUUAGUUGCAUGGUGCGGAAUUCAAGACGUUUACUUUGAGGAAAUUAGAGUGGUUACGGCAAGCUAUCGCUUUGAAUACAUUAGCAUGGAAUAAUAAUAUAGGGCGUAAGUUCUAUCUUGUUGGUUUCUAGAACAUACGCAAUGAUUAAUAGGGACAAUUGGGGGCAUUCGUAUUAACGCGUCAGAGGUGGAAUUCUUAGAUUGCGUUACGACGAACUACUGCGAAAGCAUUUGCUAAGGAUGUUUUCAUUGAUCAAGAACGAAAGUAUGGGGAUCGAAGACGAUUAGAUACCGUCGUAGUCUAUACCAUAAACUAUGCCAAUUAGAGAUUGGAGGUCGUUUAUUUUAUGACUCCUCCAGCACCUUAUGAGAAAUCAAAAUUUUUGGGUUCCGGGGGGAGUAUGGUCGCAAGGCUGAAACUUAAAGGAAUUGACGGAAGGGCACCACCAGGAGUGGAGCCUGCGGCUUAAUUUGACUCAACACGGGAAAACUUACCAGGUCCAGACAUAGUAAGGAUUGACAGAUUGAUAGCUC